rnacentral:lncRNA from 1 species
GCAUCGACGAGGCCGAGGUGGUGGACGCCACCAUGCACGGCAGCGCCGCGCGCUUCAUCAACCACUCGUGCGAGCCCAACUGCUACUCGCGCGUCAUCCACGUGGAAGGUCACAAACGCAUCGUCAUCUUCGCCCUGCGCCGCAUCCUGCGCGGCGAGGAGCUCACCUACGACUACAAGUUCCCCAUCGAGGAACCGGCGGCCAAGCUGCCCUGCAACUGCGGCGCCCGGCGGUGCCGGCGGUUCCUCAAUUGAAAAGCCGGGUGGUUUUUUUUGGGGGUUCGGGGAGGUUCUGGAGAUGUUUGUUGAGGUGGGGUGUGGUGGGUUGGUGGUGUUGGUGGUGGUGGUGGUGAGGUUUGGUGGUUGGGUAGAUGUUGUAGGGGUUAAUUGAGAGUUGGGGUGGUCAAUCGGGAGUUGUGGUGGUCAAUCGAGAGUUGUGGUGGUCAACCAAGAGUUGUGGUCAACCAAGGAUCAUGGUGGUCAACCAGGAGUUGUGGUGGUCAACCAAGAGUUGUGGUCAACCAAGAGUUGUGGUCAACCAAGGAUCAUGGUGGUCAACCAAGAGUUGUGGUGGUCAACCAAGAGUCCUGGAGAUCAACCUAGAAUCAUGGUGGUCAACCAAGAACGAUGGUGGUCAACCAAGAGUUGUGGAGAUCAACUGGUGGUUGGCCAAGAGUCCUGAAGAUCAACCAAGGAUCAUGGUGGUCAACCAGGAAU